UCCAGACUCCUACGGGAGGCAGCAGUGGGGAAUAUUGGGCAAUGGAGGCAACUCUGACCCAGCAACGCCGCGUGAGUGAUGAAGGUCUUCGGAUUGUAAAACUCUUUAAGUGGGGACGAAGAAAGUGACUGUACCCACAGAAUAAGCCUCGGCUAACUACGUGCCAGCAGCCGCGGUAAUACGUAGGAGGCAAGCGUUAUCCGGAAUGACUGGGCGUAAAGGGUGCGUAGGUGGUUUGGCAAGUUAGUAGCGUAAUUCCGGGGCUCAACUUCGGAACUACUACUAAAACUGCUGGGCUUGAGUGCAGGAGGGGCAUAUGGAAUUCCUAGUGUAGCGGUGGAAUGCGUAGAUAUUAGGAGGAACACCAGUGGCGAAGGCGAUAUGCUGGACUGUAACUGACACUGAGGCACGAAAGCGUGGGGAGCAAACAGGAUUAGAUACCCGCGUA
rnacentral:rRNA from 1 species